CUUAAAUAUAGGACCUGAAUAAAUGGACAAACAUGAGACAUCAGAGUGCUUUAUAUGCAGGGAUGGUGAACUUAAAGCCAGUGACCCGCUGAGGAAUUUCUGCGACUGCAAGAAUUUACUUGCCCAUCACGUGUGUCUGUCCACAUGGAUCCAGAGGGGAUGUGGGAGUGAAGACAGAGUGCGAUGCAUCAUCUGCAAGGCCAAGUACCAGCUGCAGAGGAGUUCCCCGUGGCGGUCGGUGAGCUUCCAGUGGCAGACGUGGCUCGUGCUGAUCACGGCGACCGUUUUGAUGAGUCUGGUGCCCUACGCUGUUUACUGCAUGAUGACAGCCUUCACCAACCCUCCUCCUCCCAGCACCUUUAAAGUGGCAGCAAUUUCCUUCGGUAUACUGACAGAGACCCUGCUCAUCAAGUGUCUGUGGAGUUACUUCAGCUCUCGGUACCGGCAGGCUGCGCAGAACUCCUUCGUAGUCCAGCCCAGAGGCUCGACGGAAGACAGAAGCAACCCCGGCCUCUGGGAUCGGCCUGAGGCCGCCUCAGCAGGUCACGCUUCAUCAGCAGCCUCACCCACUCACGUGGAGGAGAGGAAAGUGGAUGUGUUGAAGAGUGGAUGCCUCAGCCUUUUCUGAACCAACAACAGAAGGAGUUUACAGAUUACAGGCUCCAUUAUGGCUCCAUCUCCCAUGCUUCUUCUGCUAAUUGAAUAGCCUGUGAAGUGGUGACGAGGACGGGGGCGAGAGCAACGUCUGUCCCGCUGCUGCUUCAGAAAUGAGACUAAAGCUUCCCAGAGAGACACUAGUUCUUAAAACAUAAACCAUUAUCAUACAGACAGAAAGCGUGCUAACAAGUCGCUCUCAUGUUAUAUUACCGUCACACUGUCUGCACACUAUUUUCACCUAUAACUGCUUGGAAUUAACAUUUUGGGCCAUUUGCAGCAAAAGAGAUGGAUGAGAGGAAUGAUAAUCAAACACACAUUGUUUAUUAAAUAUAAGAUUAUUGCUGGUUAGGUUAGCUUAGCACAAAGUCUGGGAACAUGGAGCCUAGCUUUGAUGAAAUCUGCAUACCAGGUGAGCUCUGAAGCUCACCAUCAACCCCCGAUCUGUUGUGUCUUCGGUGUCUUCCAAAACUGACGUUGUGGGCAGUUGAAAGUGGUGUAAGACAGACAUUUAUCUAUCAAGUGCAUCUUUUUAGCCUACCGUUCCUGAUGACUGUUACCAAUCAGCUUUGCAGCUGCUAAAUGAAUCAUGUAAAAUAUUAAAUUGCACCGAUUCCCUUCUUCCAUGGUUGCAGCCAGCGGGUCCUGGUGAAUAAACUGCUUUUUCUGGAGGAGAAACCUAACAUGUUGAUUGCACAAUUACCUUGCUUGGUAUAAGUUUGCAUUACUUUCAAAUAAAGUUUCCCAUAUCAGCUUCCCACAAAACCUUUAGAGUAUCACUUUGAAUAGUUUACAUCAGAACAACCCAGUCAGACAUCAGCAGGUGCUCCUUCUUUAUUCAAAGCAGCUGUCAGUCACAGCAGUCUGUAAUGAGGACAAAUAAUCUUAUUAUAGCAUCAAAUAACUCAUAAUCAGCAAACUGAUAACAAAAAAUAUCAACAUCAGUGUUCUGACAAGUGCCUACAAUAGGAACUUAUUUUUUUAGGGGGGGGGGGGGCUUAAUUGAAGGUUAUAUAAAGGUUAUUCCUGGAGGUAAAACUACUGAAAUUUUGGGAGAUUGUCUGGGAUUCAUUUACAUGUUUUCAGCAGUGGGAGAAAUGGAAGCUCCCAGGAGAGUAUUACAACUCCACUCAGAAGGACUCUUAACCUCCAAGCUGUCACCCAAGUGAUGACACGUUGAUGACAUCAUCCAGGUUUUGAGUGGAGUUCUCCUUCAAUAGUCACUCAAAUGUGCUGUAAAUUGGUGAUCCUGUAUAAAUGUGUUUCAUAUAUAGGAAACUGUCUUGUAUAUUAAACAGUCAAAUAACUGAGUGUUGUCCUUUGUUAUAUCACUGUGGGGGGGGAUUUUCUAAAGUAAAUGAGAGUUAUUAAAAACUGAGGCGGGCC
ensembl:lncRNA